rnacentral:miRNA from 1 species
CAGAAGUCAAGCAUCGCCUUCCA